GCCCCGGUAAACGGCGGCCGUAACUAUAACGGUCCUAAGGUAGCGAAAUUCCUUGUCGGGUAAGUUCCGACCUGCACGAAUGGCGUAAUGAUGGCCAGGCUGUCUCCACCCGAGACUCAGUGAAAUUGAACUCGCUGUGAAGAUGCAGUGUACCCGCGGCAAGACGGAAAGACCCCGUGAACCUUUACUAUAGCUUGACACUGAACAUUGAGCCUUGAUGUGUAGGAUAGGUGGGAGGCUUUGAAGUGUGGACGCCAGUCUGCAUGGAGCCGACCUUGAAAUACCACCCUUUAAUGUUUGAUGUUCUAACGUUGGCCCGUAAUCCGGGUUGCGGACAGUGUCUGGUGGGUAGUUUGACUGGGGCGGUCUCCUCCUAAAGAGUAACGGAGGAGCACGAAGGUUGGCUAAUCCUGGUCGGACAUCAGGAGGUUAGUGCAAUGGCAUAAGCCAGCUUGACUGCGAGCGUGACGGCGCGAGCAGGUGCGAAAGCAGGUCAUAGUGAUCCGGUGGUUCUGAAUGGAAGGGCCAUCGCUCAACGGAUAAAAGGUACUCCGGGGAUAACAGGCUGAUACCGCCCAAGAGUUCAUAUCGACGGCGGUGUUUGGCACCUCGAUGUCGGCUCAUCACAUCCUGGGGCUGAAGUAGGUCCCAAGGGUAUGGCUGUUCGCCAUUUAAAGUGGUACGCGAGCUGGGUUUAGAACGUCGUGAGACAGUUCGGUCCCUAUCUGCCGUGGGCGCUGGAGAACUGAGGGGGGCUGCUCCUAGUACGAGAGGACCGGAGUGGACGCAUCACUGGUGUUCGGGUUGUCAUGCCAAUGGCACUGCCCGGUAGCUAAAUGCGGAAGAGAUAAGUGCUGAAAGCAUCUAAGCACGAAACUUGCCCCGAGAUGAGUUCUCCCUGACUCCUUGAGGGUCCUGAAGGAACGUUGAAGACGACGACGUUGAUAGGCCGGGUGUGUAAGCGCAGCGAUGCGUUGAGCUAACCGGUACUAAUGAACCGUGAG
rnacentral:rRNA from 1 species